UACGGAGGGUGCGAGCGUUGUCCGGAAUCACUGGGCGUAAAGGGCGCGUAGGUGGCGCGGGCAGUCAACGGUGAAAGUUCGGGGCUCAACCCUGAAUCGGCCGUCGAUACUCCUGGGCUCGAGCACUGUAGAGGCAGAUGGAAUUCCGGGUGUAGCGGUGGAAUGCGUAGAGAUCCGGAAGAACACCGGUGGCGAAGGCGGUCUGCUGGGCAGUUGCUGACACUGAGGCGCGACAGCGUGGGGAGCAAACAGG
rnacentral:rRNA from 1 species